GACUAAUGACUAAAACCCAAGCCUCAUAAUGAAAGAUCAAGAGUGUCCAUAUUCCAUUCAAUAUCUCAAAUGGAAUGGAUAUAAGAGAAUGCUCAACAUGAAAAUGUUGGUAGACAUACAAAGAGUGAGUACUAAACUAUUGAAUGACCCAUUUGAUCACCUCUUUUCCAAGUUUGUGAGAAACUUAUAUGAAAUGUUAAGAAUUUUUAAGUCUUUGAUCUUUACGAUUCUUCCAUUUGUUCCAUGUCUUUUUCUAGCCCACCAUUAGAAAAGAUAUAUA